AAAGAGAAGUAGAGAACAGAGCCAGAGCCAGAGAUAAAAGGAGAAUAAAGCACUUACAGACACUCUCCUCUCUCCCUCUCGAGGUUUCUUCCCUCGAAAAAAGCUCCCAUUGAAACCGCCCGUCUCAGGGUUUAAUUGGGUAGGAUUUCAAUGCGGAGGAAGAAAGUUGCAGAUCGGGCUGUAACAUAUCGUGUGGACUUGAGUCGUUUGAGGACACCGGAGUUACUUGAAGUUCUGGUGCUUUGUCAAGUUCAAUCGAGACUGGAAACUGAGCAUCGAUAGAGGGUUGCUGUGAUAGGCUAUGUUAAAAGUUCUUGAGCAGAAAAGAGUGCAAGCUGGUGCUAAUUGGCAUUCCUGGAAGGAUGGGAAGUAAUGAUGCCAACGAGUUAAUGAUUUCUGGGAGUGAUGAGGCUGAAUGUUCUGAGGCCACUGUGGAGAUAAAGAUAAAAACAUUGGAUUCUCAAACAUAUACUUUGAGAGUGAAUAAAUGUGUACCCGUGCCUGCAUUGAAGGAACAGAUUGCAACUAUUACUGGUGUGCUGUCAGAACAGCAACGCUUAAUAUGUCGUGGAAAAGUUUUGAAGGAUGAUCAACUCCUUUCAGCUUACCAUGUGGAAGAUGGACAUACUUUACACUUGGUUGUCAGACAACCAGUUCCCCCUUCCUCUGCAUCCACAAUGGGCUUCAUUGGACCUGAAGGCUCGCCAGAUCAUCCAGCAAGUGAACCUACCACAAACACCAGCCAUAGCCAAGGUAAUCAGGUAGCUCAUAGUGUGGUACUUGGGACCUUCAAUAUUGCUGAUCAAGGGGAUGGAGUUCUUCCAGAUAUCAAUCGGAUUGUUUCAGCAGUCCUUGGUUCUAUUUUCACCAAUAUAGGGAGUGGCAGUGAAGGGGCUAACCAUAGGGAACCUGCUUCUGAGAGGCUUGAGAGAACAUCUGGUGCUAGUGUUCCAUCAGAUUCAGUGCGAAGUCAACCUGGUCAGCCCACUGCAGGGGUUCAAUCUGAUCCACUGCAUGGUGCUUUCCGGCUUCCAACCCCAGCUUCUUUGGGACCUCUGCAGGCACCUGUUAUUCCUGAUUCUUUAGCAACUCUUUCCCAGUACAUAAAUCGUAUGAGGCAUGAAUUCCGUGUCAUUGCAAGGAGCCACAGCAGCAACAGUCAACCUGCUAGCACCCCUGGCAAUGAAGGAAGGGAUUACGAUUCUGCCUCGCGCUCAAAUGAAGGGCAAGCAGGGCUGCCUACACCAGCAUCACUGGCGGAAGUAAUACUGUCUACAAGACAGAUGCUCAUUGACCAAGCCGGAGAGUGCCUAUAUCAACUUACAAGACAACUGGAGGAUCAAGGAAAUAUUACUGAUCCACUGAUGCGGAUGACCAUUCAGUCUAAUGCAAUGAGGUCAGGAGUCUUUUUGCAAAAUUUAGGUGCUCUGUUACUUGAGCUUGGUCGGGCAACCAUGAUGCUGAGAAUGGGCCGUACACCGUCCGAGGCAGUUGUUAAUGCAGGACCUUCAGUUUUCAUAUCAAAUUCCGGACCCAAUCCUAUAAUGGUGCAGCCUCUUCCUUUUCAACCAGGAACAAGUUUUGGUGCAGUUCCCAUUGGAGCUGUACAUCCUGGCUCUAGUUUGGUUGGUGGUACACUUGGUUCUGGUUUUAUUCCGAGGAAUAUUGACAUUCGAAUACGUACAGCAACUGGAUCUUCAGUUCCCACAGCUAAUGUUAAUCAAGGGGAGCAGGCUGGUGUACGACAACCUUCGGGUCCAACAAAUUCAGUGAGACCUUCUGGCUCAGCUUCAGGGGCCUCAGGUAGUCCAUCCUUUGCUGGAGAGUCUGGAGUAAGGGUGGUACCAAUUAGGACAGUGGUUGCAGCAGUUCCAGCUCCAGUCAAUCGCCCAGCUUCUGAUUCAUCUGGUAGUUCCAUAGGGUUAUUCUAUCCACUUCUUGCUAGGGUUCAACAUGUAACUUCUGGGCAUUUCAAUAGUACAAGAGAUUCUCAAGUGUCUGGUGACCGCCCUCCUAGUGUUCCUGAAACUGUGCGACACCCAAUCCCUGAAUCUGUAGUUCAAAACCAAAAUAUAAGCUUACAUAUAGGUACUUCAAGAGAUGCUGAUUCAGCAAAUGUGGUGGUUCAAAAUCAGCAAGGAUCAUUACCAACUUCCAGUUCAAGACAAUCACAGCCAUCUGAUUCUAAUAAUAAUAAUAAUAAUAAUAAUAAUAAUAAUCUCUCAAGUGGUAGGAUCCAAAAUGGUCAAGAGUCUGCAGCACAUAUUUCCAAUAGAUUUGAUCAACUGUUAAGGACCAUUUUCCCUGGUGAGCAAAUCAGUGUUGGUGAAGCCAACUUCCCAGGCAUGAGUACUGGCUCUGCUACAGAGCAUGUAGGGACAGCUGGAAGUACUGCUAAUGCAAGAGAGGCAACAUCGAGAGUGGAAUCUGAUGAUGGGAUCUUCUUAUCUAAUUUGCUUCGCCAAGUCAUGCCUGUGAUAUCCCAAGUCACAGCCAUAGAGCAAAAUGCUCCAUUGCCAGAAGGAGUAGGUGCUUCUGAGCAUAGAACUGCACAUGAUUCUUCAACACAAACCACAGAGAGCUCUAAUUCUGGGACCACACGUAGGUGCAGUGACAACCUGCCAACCCCUCCAGAUUCAAAACGUCAGAAGAGGGAGUGAGAAUAGUCUGUCCUGAGGUUUACUUCUUCGGUUGAUCUACCAACUGUAUAGAUGGAUGCUGAUUCUGGUUACAAGAUUUGAUGCUCUCAUCGUACAGCUCAACGAGUGAUCGUGUAUUUCAGAUGUUAUACCUCUCAUCCAUAGGAAAAGUUGAUUUGAGUCUCUGCCUGUGCCGCAUAGGUCCUUUUGGGUCUCCGUCAUUUACUUUUAUUUAUUUUUGUUUUGUUGUAAGCACAAAGAGCUACAAGUGACGGCACCUAGCUCCAUCAGUUGUAAAAUGAUUAUUUUGUCCGGGUUGAGGGAACCUCGCCCUUUUUCACUUAUGAAAUAAAAUUAAUCUAUCCGGCUGGUCUGCCCCCAAUUGAUUUCCCA